UCCCUGGUAGCUCAAACGGUAAAGCGUUUGCCUGCAGUGCGGGAGACCUGGGUUCGAUCCCCGUUUGGGAA
rnacentral:tRNA from 1 species